AUUGAACGCUGGCGGCAGGCCUAACACAUGCAAGUCGAACGGUAGCACAGAGAGCUUGCUCUCGGGUGACGAGUGGCGGACGGGUGAGUAACGUCUGGGAAACUGCCCGAUGGAGGGGGAUAACUACUGGAAACGGUAGCUAAUACCGCAUAACGUCGCAAGACCAAAGUGGGGGACCUUCGGGCCUCACACCAUCGGAUGUGCCCAGAUGGGAUUAGCUAGUAGGUGGGGUAAUGGCUCACCUAGGCGACGAUCCCUAGCUGGUCUGAGAGGAGGACCAGCCACACUGGAACUGAGACACGGUCCAGACUCCUACGGGAGGCAGCAGUGGGGAAUAUUGCACAAUGGGCGCAAGCCUGAUGCAGCCAUGCCGCGUGUAUGAAGAAGGCCUUCGGGUUGUAAAGUACUUUCAGCGGGGAGGAAGGCGGUGAAGUUAAUAGCUUCACCGAUUGACAUUACCCGCAGAAGAAGCACCGGCUAACUCCGUGCCAGCCGCCGCGGUAA
rnacentral:rRNA from 1 species